GACAGAGGAUGCAAGCGUUAUCCGGAAUGAUUGGGCGUAAAGCGUCUGUAGGUGGCUUUUCAAGUCGCCGUCAAUCCCAGGGCUCAACCCUGGACAGGCGGUGGAAACUACCAAGCUGGAGUACGGUAGGGGCAGAGGGAAUUUCCGGUGGAGCGGUGGAAAUGCGUAGAGAUCGGAAAGAACACCAAUGGCGAAGGCGGCAUCCUGGCCCUGACCUGACGCUGAGGCGCGAGAGCGUGG
rnacentral:rRNA from 1 species